AAUAAAUGGAGGAUUGCUAUGAGGCUUUACUGUUUACAAAUUAAGAAAUUCUAAACUUGAGUUGCAAAUAUAACAACUUAAACAGGAAAUUCUUGAGUUGCAAGGAAGAAUUGCUGUUGGAGGUUCAUUUAACAGUGAUAAAGAGUUGAAAAUAUAUCAACUUCAAGAGGAGUUAACAAAAUUGCACUGAACAAAAGGAGAGCAUGCUCAAAAAAUAAUUGAACUAACAAUCGAUUUAAAAGCAAAAGAUGAUUUAAUUCUACAAAAAGAUUUAAUUAUUCAAGAAAAUCAAAAUCAAAUGGAUAGUGUUCUUUCAGAAAAUGGAUGGCUAAAUUCACUUAUUGCUGACUUGGAGCUGCUAACCAGGCAAUUAAGGAUGAGCACCAGGCUCUUCAAAUGCUUUGCAAUUCAACAGAAGAAAAGUAUAAAAAUCUACAGUUUAAAUACCAAGAGUUGACACCUGCAUGAGCAUCUUGUCUUUGCACUGCAUGUUUAACUAGAUCAUAACACCGAAAGUAUCAGUGGCUAGUUCCAGAUCAACUGGCAAAUCUAACUCGUAAAUUCAACACCCCAAAAAUAUUUGCUUUCAAAUUGGGGAAUUUCAAUCACAAUCAAGCCAACAACCUACUUUUGUCGUGUGCGAUAUUGUGUACUGGAAACUGUUUCUUCUGAACACCACAAUCAACU